GAGUGGAGUCAGCAUCACACUGAUCACACAGACAUGAGUGUGCCAACUCAGCUCCUGGCAUUGUUGCUGCUGUGGCAUACAGAUGCCAGAUGUGACAUCCAGAUGACUCAGUCUCCAGCCUCCCUGUCUGCAUCUGUGGGAGAAAGUGUCUCCAUCUCAUGUCGAGCAAGUGAAGACAUUCACAAUUAUUUACACUGGUAUCAGCAGAAACCAGGAAAAUCUCCUCAGCUCUUGAUCUAUAGUGCAACCAACUUGGAAGAUGGCAUCCCAUCCAGAUUCAGUGGCAGUGGAUCUGGCACACAGUAUUCUCUCAAGAUCAGCAGCCUACAGCCUGAAGAUGUUAGAACUUAUUACUGUCAAAGUGCUUAUGGUACAUCUCCCACAGUGAUUUAA